GACGAACGCUGGCGGCGUGCUUAACACAUGCAAGUCGAACGGAAAGGCCCUGCUUUUGUGGGGUGCUCGAGUGGCGAAAGGGUGAGUAACAUGUGAGUAACCUGCCCUUGACUUUGGGAUAACUUCAGGAAACUGGGGCUAAUACCGGAUAGGAGCUCCUGCUGCAUGGUGGGGGUUGGAAAGUUUCGGCGGUUGGGGAUGGACUCGCGGCUUAUCAGCUUGUUGGUGGGGUAGUGGCUUACCAAGGCUUUGACGGGUAGCCGGCCUGAGAGGGUGACCGGCCACAUUGGGACUGAGAUACGGCCCAGACUCCUACGGGAGGCAGCAGUGGGGAAUAUUGCACAAUGGGCGGAAGCCUGAUGCAGCAACGCCGCGUGCGGGAUGACGGCCUUCGGGUUGUAAACCGCUUUCGCCUGUGACGAAGCGUGAGUGACGGUAAUGGGUAAAGAAGCACCGGCUAACUACGUG
rnacentral:rRNA from 1 species